GAUGAAGAACGUAGCGAAAUGCGAUAAGUAAUGUGAAUUGCAGAAUUCAGUGAAUCAUCGAAUCUUUGAACGCACAUUGCGCCCGCCAGUAUUCUGGCGGGCAUGCCUGUUCGAGCGUCAUUACAACCCUCAGGCCCCCGGGCCUGGCGUUGGGGAUCGGCGGAAGCCCCCUGUGGGCACACGCCGUCCCUCAAAUACAGUGGCGGUCCCGCCGCAGCUUCCAUUGCGUAGUAGCUAACACCUCGAAACUGGAGAGCGGCGCGGCCAUGCCGUAAAACACCCAACUUCUGAAUGUUGACCUCGAAUCAGGUAGGAAUACCCGCUGAACUUAAGCAUAUCAAUAAGCGGAGGA
rnacentral:misc_RNA from 1 species